rnacentral:rRNA from 1 species
AGCAAUUAUACCGUGAAACUGCGAAUGGCUCAUUAAAUCAGUUAUCGUUUAUUUGAUAGUACCUUACUACUUGGAUAACCGUGGUAAUUCUAGAGCUAAUACAUGCUGAAAACCCCAACUUCGGGAGGGGUGUAUUUAUUAGAUAAAAAACAACGCCCUUCGGGGUUCUUUGGGAUUCAUGAUAACUUCAAGGGAUCGCAUGGCCUUGGGCCGGCGAACGGUUCAUUCAAAUUUCUGCCCUAUCAACUUUCGAUGGUAAAGGUAUUGGCUUACCAUGGUUUCAACGGGUAACGGGGAAUUAGGGGUUCGAUUCCGGAGAGGGAGCCUGAGAAACGGCUACCACAUCCAAGGAAGGCAGCAGGCGCGCAAAUUACCCAAUCCCGACACGGGGAGGUAGUGACAAUAAAUACUGAUACAGGGCUCUUUUGGGUCUUGUAAUUGGAAUGAGUACAAUUUAAACCUCUUAACGAGGAACAAUUGGAGGGCAAGUCUGGUGCCAGCAGCCGCGGUAAUUCCAGCUCCAAUAGCGUAUAUUAAAGUUGUUGCAGUUAAAAAGCUCGUAGUUGAAACUUGGGCCUGGCUGGCAGGUCCGCCUCACCGCGUGUACUUGUCCGGCCGGGCCUUUCCUUCUGGAGAACCUCAUGCCCUUCACUGGGUGUGUUGGGGAACCAGGACUUUUACUUUGAAAAAAUUAGAGUGUUCAAAGCAGGCCUUUGCUCGAAUACGUUAGCAUGGAAUAAUAGAAUAGGACGUGCGGUCCUAUUUUGUUGGUUUCUAGGACCGCCGUAAUGAUUAAUAGGGACAGUCGGGGGCAUCAGUAUUCAAUUGUCAGAGGUGAAAUUCUUGGAUUUAUUGAAGACUAACUACUGCGAAAGCAUUUGCCAAGGAUGUUUUCAUUAAUCAGUGAACGAAAGUUAGGGGAUCGAAGACGAUCAGAUACCGUCGUAGUCUUAACCGUAAACUAUGCCGACUAGGGAUCGGGCGAUGUUCUUUUUCUGACUCGCUCGGCACCUUACGAGAAAUCAAAG